AUGAACAGCAUACGUUGGCAAACCACGCUGCUGUUCUCAGUACACUAUCUCUCAAGACAUUGCGAUCUGACCAGUGGAAAAACAGGAUGUGGUUAACUUUAUGGCUGUAAACGAUACUGACAUCUGUAGUGGUUAAAUAACUGCCUGCAUAUUGCCACGUAGAUAAUGCUGUUGUACUAUGUAUGUACGUGAUGUUAUACAAUAGUUAAAGGUCAUAGGCUGUUUAUGGAGAGAAAAUAAUCCACGCCUCCAGGCGGAGGUAAAAUAAAAGCGGAGACCAGAAUUACGAGGGGGGCUCCGAAAUUGAACUCUGGUCUCACCGUGUCUCACUGUGUCGUGAUAUCUACAUCUGGUGACCCCGACGUGAUUCAGAACAAACACCCUCGUACCCACUGGCAGGAUCAGCCAACGGUGCACCUCAGCGUACAGCUCCCAUUCGUAGCUGCAGUACUGGCAGAAGUGACCAGGGAGAAACCGGUUCCGGCAUUUUCAGCAGUCGGAGUCUCUACCUGCCCCGCGGGUGCAGUUUCGGCAACUACCAAAUCCAGAGUGGAAAGGCCCAGUUCCGCUUAUAACGUGGGGUCGAGGUUACGCGGCUGUGUCUACGCCUGACGGUCCUGUGUGGGUACCUGCUAGGUGUAUCCGGCCCUGGAAAGACGAUGUCCUGGCACGAUAAUCUUAAGAAUCCCAUCCCUAAUUUUUCUCUGCAACUUCAGGAUACUGGGAUGUCUUCCAGGAAGCGUGGUCGGAAUGUUCCGCAACCUCCCGUGACUUGGGGCCAAAUAAAGAACUUAGCAACACAAGCAGAAAAAGCAAUGGAACAAGCCGGGGUGGACAAGACAACUGAGAAUACCAUUCUUGCUUUAAUUGCGUCUUUAAAUACAAAUUCUAUUUUUGUACUUUGCAUUUGUUGGAUUUUAGGAAGCGCCGGGGCUGACAGGUUGGGGCAGGAGUUGGGGAUGCGGUUUCAACACAAUAUCUGGGUUCAGUUAGCAAGAAUGACAAAUGUGAGUGACUUUUGCAUGACUGAACAUGUACAGGAAAUGGGUAUGUUGGGAACAUGUUUAAUACCCGUAUGCAAAGCACCUGGGGAUAUUGGGAACAUUACAGGACUUGGGCGGUUCAUGAAUACUUCAGAGAUUAAAUAUCAUACUGUUUCGAAUUGGGGAACUCCAACCUUCCAGCUGCCUGUUAAUGCUUUUCAAUUAUUUACAUCACAUGUUGCAAAUUCCAUUAAUAAUA